GUCUUUUUGAUCAUAAUUUAAAGUCUGACCUGCCCAAUGAGUAUUUGAAUGGCCGCGGUAAUUUGACCGUGCAAAGGUAGCAUAAUCAUUAGUUUUUUAAUUGAAAGCUGGAAUGAACGGUUGGACGAGAAAAUAACUGUCUCAAUUUAAUUUAAUAUAGAAUUUUAUUUAUAAGUAAGAAAGCUUAUAUAAUUUUAAAAGACGAGAAGACCCUAUAGAAUUUUAUAUUUUAUCUUAUUAAUUAGGGUUAGAAUAUUUACAUUUUUAAUGAGAUAAAAUAUUUUGCUGGGGCAGCAGAAAAAUUAAAUUAACUUUUUUUACUUAGUUUACAUUAAUUUAUGAUUUUACGAUCCAUUUUUUAUGAUUAUAAGAUUAAAUUACCUUAGGGAUAACAGCGUAAUUUUUUUUUAGAGUUCUAAUCGAAAAAAGAGUUUGCGACCUCGAUGUUGG
rnacentral:rRNA from 1 species